rnacentral:rRNA from 1 species
UGGGGAAUAUUGGACAAUGGGGGGAACCCUGAUCCAGCCAUGCCGCGUGUGUGAAGAAGGCCUUAUGGUUGUAAAGCACUUUAAGCGAGGAGGAGGGUACUGGUAUUAAUACUACCAGGUACUGGACGUUACUCGCAGAAUAAGCACCGGCUAACUCUGUGCCAGCAGCCGCGGUAAUACAGAGGGUGCGAGCGUUAAUCGGAUUUACUGGGCGUAAAGCGUGCGUAGGCGGCUAAUUGAGUCGGAUGUGAAAUCCCCGAGCUUAACAUGGGAAUUGCAUUCGAUACUGGUGAGCUAGAGUGUGGGAGAGGAUGGGAGAAUUCCAGGUGUAGCGGUGAAAUGCGUAGAGAGAUGGAGGAAUACCGAUGGCGAAGGCAGCCAUCUGGCCUAACACUGACGCUGAGGUACGAAAGCAUGGGGAGAAAACAGG